CCUACGGGUGGCAGCAGUGAGGAAUAUUGGUCAAUGGGCGAGAGCCUGAACCAGCCAAGUCGCGUGAGGGAGUACUGCCCUAUGGGUUGUAAACCUCUUUUGUCGGGGAGUAAAAGCCGGCCGUUUCCGGCUGUGAGAGUUCCCGAAGAAAAAGCAUCGGCUAACUUCGUGCCAGCAGCCGCGGUUAUACGGGGGAUGCGAGCGUUAUCCGGGUUUAUUGGGUUUUAAGGGUGCGCAGGCGGAUUUUUAAGUCAGCGGUCAAAUCGUGGGGCUCAACCCCAUCCAGCAGUUGAAACUGGGGAUCUAGAGUGUGCGAGAGGUAUGCGGAAUGCGUGGUGUAGCGGUGAAAUGCAUAGAUAUCACGCAGAACCCCGAUUGCGAAGGCAGCAUACCGGUGCACAACUGACGCUGAGGCACGAAAGCGUGGGUAUCGAACAGGAUUAGAUACCCUGGUAGUC
rnacentral:rRNA from 1 species